rnacentral:lncRNA from 1 species
GAUGGACCGUUGAAGCCACAGCAACAGGUCAAAUAUAUGUCUUGAAUGUCAUUUCCUUAAGCGAUUUUAGGGUCAAAACUUCCAGAAUUUGCCAUUGUACCAAUAACCUCAAUAAAAAAGAAAAAGAAAAAAAAGAAACAAGCUGGUCAACAGCAAAACAAAAGAAAACAAUCAUAAUGCUGCCCCAGAGGACAUCUAAAGCAAAAGUGAAAGGUAACAUAUCUAAAAUCACUUUGAAAAGCUAGGAAAUACUAUGUCAGGGUAGUGUGUUAUUAAAACAAAAGCAUUUGACUUAGAAAAUCUACAGGCCCUAAUGCACACGAUUGUUGAAAUGAAUCUGGCUUUAUGGUGUUUGGAUAACAACAGUG